UACAGAGGGGGCAAGCGUUAUCCGGAAUUAUUGGGCGUAAAGCGCGCGCAGGUGGUUUCUUAAGUCUGAUGUGAAAGCCCACGGCUCAACCGUGGAGGGUCAUUGGAAACUGGGAGACUUGAGUGCAGAAGAGGAAAGUGGAAUUCCAUGUGUAGCGGUGAAAUGCGUAGAGAUAUGGAGGAACACCAGUGGCGAAGGCGACUUUCUGGUCUGUAACUGACACUGAGGCGCGAAAGCGUGGGGAGCAAGCAGG
rnacentral:rRNA from 1 species